UUUUCAACCAUGAUCAAAUCUUACAUUUGUAAUCAAUCAAUAGUACAUUUAGUUUUCCAUCAUAAGUUUUGUUGAAGACUUCUACAGAGGGUAUUCCUUAACAGACAGAGGACGUUAUUAACACCCUACAAGAUGAAUCUGUUCUCUCAUAUAUGAUACAUUGACGUCAUACUAGCCUCACCCAAAACCCCAGAAGCAGCCACUGGUAUAAAAGUAAGCAUUGCAUUGGUCUAAACAAUUACACUGAGAAAAUGAGCAUCAAAUGCUCACCAAUUACAAAAUCUUUUUCAGUGAAUUAAAGAGCUGGAUUAAAGUGCACUUAUCUAUGUUUCCUUUCCAACCAUACAAAUCAUCAGUGGCAAGCAUUGAUUCAAAGGGGGAAAUGUGGACUGUUGGAGAUAUGUAUAUAUUCACAGUGAAUGUAAGCGAGUUUGCACCAGAAGUUAUUGUAACCUCCACCAAUAAUUCAAUACAAGUCUGUGCAGAAAAGUUGGCAUCAGAUCGUGGACGCUGUUCGUCAGAAGUGUCAGUUCCCAGCUGAUGUGGAUCCAAUGUCAGUCACAUCUUCUCUAGAGAAAGGUGGUUUGUUGACCAUUAAAGCCCAAAAGCAUACAGCAAAAUGCUUGCCAAUCAUGGAUUCAUUCAAAGAAGUGAAAAUCUAAUGCUUGGAUGUAUUUUUAAGCAUUUUAGAAACUUGAAUCUGUUUCCUUCUUUAUUGUACUAAAUCAAUUGGGUUAUUAAACAAAAACAAAUGUUAAAUUUUUUUUUUUACUUCAAUAUAUAAUGAGGUUCAU